rnacentral:misc_RNA from 1 species
GAUGAAGAACGUAGCGAAAUGCGAUAAGUAAUGCGAAUUGCAGAAUUUCCGUGAGUCAUCGAAUCUUUGAACGCACAUUGCGCCCGCCAGCAUUCUGGCGGGCAUGCCUGUCCGAGCGUCAUUUCAACCCUCAGGGUCCCUCCGCCUCGCGCGGUCGGAGCCUGGUGUUGGGGAUCGGCCCGCCCCGCGCGGCGCCGUCCCCCAAAUACAGUGGCGGUCCCGCCGCAGCCUCCCCUGCGCAGUAGUUAUCAACUCGCACUGGAGCGCGGCGCGGCCACGCCGUAAAACCCCCGACUUUUAGAAAGUUGACCUCGGAUCAGGUAGGAAUACCCGCUGAACUUAAGCAUAUCAAUAAGCGGAGGA